AUUUUACCGUUCUUAAAAGAGCAACAACACAUAUGCGAAUGAUAAUUGUUAUUUCGCCAUUUGUGUUAUUGCUUAACGUACAUUG
rnacentral:sRNA from 1 species